CCACGUAGUAUUAUUUCUCCUAUAUAGAUUAUAACUAUAUCGAGCGGACAAGUUAAAAAAUGGGUACAUGUUUUUAUGGGCUAUCCAAGACCGGAAGAUCAUUGGCUUUUUUGAGGACUCGUUUUACGGGUUUAAAAAAGAGUACUUCAAUGUACGGUUGAUUGGAGGUCAUCACCCCUUAUGGUUAACCUUGGAGGGAGAGCUCCAGUUCCUCACGUUCUGGAAGUAUGAGGCUACGGCCGACUACCUCGUAAAAGUGGCUUACAAGGGUUUGAGUCUGGAAAACAAAAACAUCAUUGAGGUGUUAUUGGCCAUUUUUAGGAAUAGGGCACUAAACCAUCGCCAUGUGAUGAGUGAUCAAGAUACUGGUCGUCAAUAUGUGGAUAGUUGAUAUGGCAAGCGGUCUCACCAUUAUGGAGAAUUUGAUGGAUGUCUUCCUAAUCGAAGACAAGGAUGACGAGUAGCCCCAGACCGAGGAGACUGUUGACUCGGGGGCUGCCCCAAGGGGCUGAGGCUGGAGGGCCCCACGAGGCUGCUGGGGCUCAGCCUGAAGACGAUAUUCAUGAGAUCGUGCCCCCGUCACCCGUGAAGAAGAGGAAGAUCGUGCCUAGCGAGAAAGGAAAGGGGUCAUUAUUCCCUCUAUGAUGGAGAAGUCCUUCGAUGCCCCUGCCUUUAUUGACGAGCAUCCGGGGACUAAGUAGUUCUUUGCCGACUGUGACUUAGAGGAACAGGCGAAGUGAGUUUAUCGCUCUCUACUUUGCUCAGUCACCGUGGUGCACAAAACAGAGACGGUUCUAGGACAGUCUCAUGUCUUGGACGGCAUGCUCUGCUAGGCUCAGGUGGACCUAGUGGCGGCUCGUUAAGAGAAGGAAUCGGCUGAAGAGGCCAGGGUUAAGGUGAAGAAUUCAGUUCAGGAAGUUGCUAGCGAGGUUCAAUGCCUUAAGGAUUUGGAGAUGCUGCUAAGGCCAGAGGUUGCGAAGGCGGAGAGUCGAGCAACGGAGGCCGAAAAGAAUAUGAAGGCUGUCGAGGCUUUAGCGGAUACCUUGAGGAAGAGAAAUAGAGAAGUCGUGCCGGAUGUGAAAGAAGCCAUCUCUGCCACCGAGGAAUCCCUAAAUCCCAGGUAGCUCUUCUCGCUCCCAAUUUUGGUGCUUUCAAGACAAUUCGUGAUGGCCAGAUCAUGGACCUCAGCGUCGAGAAGAGACUGUAGCGGCUUCCUUGUCUCUUUAUUUUUAUGUUUGCCAUGUUCUGGAAUUUUUUGUAUUCUAUAUUUAUGUCCUAUGGUCAGACUUGUUAUGAGACCAUGUUGGUUGGUAUUCUUUUUUUUUUUUGUGUAAAUUUUGUUUUAUCCUUCGGAUAUCCGUGUGGAUGGUUUUUUUGGCUACCAGGUUUAUCAGGCCUGGGGUGCCGCUUUUGUCACUUACUUCCAAAUGUUUUUAAAGUAUAGAACAUUAGCAAUAAUCCUUGUA